rnacentral:rRNA from 1 species
AACGAACGCUGGCGGCAUGCCUAACACAUGCAAGUCGAACGAGACCUUCGGGUCUAGUGGCGCACGGGUGCGUCACGCGUGGGAACCUGCCCUUAUGUUCGGAAUAACUCCCCGAAAGGGGUGCUAAUACCGGAUCAUGUCUUCUGCCCAAAGAUUUAUCGCCUUUGGAUGGGCCCGCGUUGGAUUAGCUAGUUGUUAGGGUAAAAGCCUACCACGGCGACGAUCCAUAGCUGGUCUGAGAGGAUGAUCAGCCACACUGGGACUGAGACACGGCCCAGACUCCUACGGGAGGCAGCAGUGGGGAAUAUUGGACAAUGGGCGAAAGCCUGAUCCAGCAAUGCCGCGUGAGUGAUGAAGGCCUUAGGGUUGUAAAGCUCUUUUACCCGGGAUGAUAAUGACAGUACCGGGAGAAUAAGCUCCGGCUAACUCCGUG